ACAAACCUCUGAUAAAUGUCUCUUAGCCCUGACUCAGUAUUUCCUUCCCCUUCCCUGAGUCUUUGCUAACUGAAACACACAAUUUGAAGUGUUUCAAUACUUAUUUAAACUGUCUCUAACAAUAAGGCUUAAUAAUUAAUUUAUUGAAUUCUAUUAUUUCCUUAGUCAACCUAAAAUGUUGACCCUCGAUGCACUCUAGGUAAAUUAGGUUUAAUGUUACUAAUAUAUCACAUUUUAUAGCCCUUUAGUGU
rnacentral:misc_RNA from 1 species